UCGCACGAGAAAGUGGAGCGAUCCAUGAGUACAGUGGCGUACGGGUGAGUAACACGUGGAUAACCUGCCCUUUAGUGGGGAAUACCGAUGGGAAACCGUCGACAAUACCGCAUAAGCUCGAGAGAGGAAAGCAGCAAUGCGCUGAAGGAGGGGUCCGCGGUCGAUUAGCUAGUUGGUAGGGUAAUGGCCUACCAAGGCUGUGAUCGAUAGCCGGCCUGAGAGGGCUCACGGCCACACUGGCACUGAAACACGGGCCAGACUCCUACGGGAGGCAGCAGUGGGGAAUCUUGCACAAUGGAGGAAACUCUGAUGCAGCGACGCCGCGUGAGCGAUGAAGCCCUUCGGGGUGUAAAGCUCUUUCGGCAGGGAAGAUUAUGACGGUACCUGCAGAAGCAGCUGCGGCUAACUACGUGCCAGCAGCCGCGGUAAUACGUAGGCAGCAAGCGUUGUUCGGAAUUACUGGGCGUAAAGGGUGCGUAGGCGGUCCUGUAAGUAUGGUGUGAAAUCUCCCGGCUUAACUGGGAGGGUGCGCUAUAAACUGCGGGACUAGAGUGUGGGAGAGGAAAGUGGAAUUCCUGGUGUAGCGGUGAAAUGCGUAGAUAUCAGGAGGAACACCGGUGGUGUAAACGGCUUUCUGGACCAUAACUGACGCUGAGGCACGAAAGCGUGGGUAGCAAACAGGAUUAGAUACCCUGGUAGUCCACGCCCUAAACGAUGCAUAUUUGGUGUGGGUCAUUCAGUUGAUCCGUGCCGGAGCUAACGCGUUAAAUAUGCCGCCUGGGGAGUACAGUCGCAA
rnacentral:rRNA from 1 species